rnacentral:rRNA from 1 species
UACGUAGGGUGCAAGCGUUGUCCGGAAUUAUUGGGCGUAAAGAGCGUGUAGGCGGCCCGAUAAGUCCGCUGUGAAAGUCCAGGGCUCAACCCUGGAAUGCCGGUGGAUACUGUCGGGCUCGAAUCCGGAAGAGGUGAGUGGAAUUCCUGGUGUAGCGGUGAAAUGCGCAGAUAUCAGGAGGAACACCAAUGGCGAAGGCAGCUCACUGGGACGGUAUUGACGCUGAGACGCGAAAGCGUGGGGAGCAAACAGG